rnacentral:rRNA from 1 species
GACGGAGAAUGCAAGUGUUAUCCGGAAUCACUGGGCGUAAAGCGUCUGUAGGUGGUUUAAAAAGUCUACUGUUAAAAAUUGAAGCUUAACUUCAAAGAUGCCGUAGAAACUUUUAAACUUGAGGAUGGUAGGGGUAGAGGGAAUUUCCAGUGGAGCGGUGAAAUGCGUAGAUCUUGGAAAGACCACCAAUGGCGAAGGCACUCUACUGGGCCAUGACUGACACUAAGAGACGAAAGCUAGGGGAGCAAAUGGG